rnacentral:rRNA from 1 species
UGGGGAAUAUUGCACAAUGGGCGCAAGCCUGAUGCAGCCAUGCCGCGUGUAUGAAGAAGGCCUUCGGGUUGUAAAGUACUUUCAGCGGGGAGGAAGGGAGUAAAGUUAAUACCUUUGCUCAUUGACGUUACCCGCAGAAGAAGCACCGGCUAACUCCGUGCCAGCAGCCGCGGUAAUACGGAGGGUGCAAGCGUUAAUCGGAAUUACUGGGCGUAAAGCGCACGCAGGCGGUUUGUUAAGUCAGAUGUGAAAUCCCCGGGCUCAACCUGGGAACUGCAUCUGAUACUGGCAAGCUUGAGUCUCGUAGAGGGGGGUAGAAUUCCAUGUGUAGCGGUGAAAUGCGUAGAGAUCUGGAGGAAUCCCGGUGGCUAAGGCGGCCCCCUGGACGAAGACUGACGCUCAGGUGCGAAAGCGUGGGGAGCAAACAGG